UACAAAUUCCAUUAACUUUUGUUUGUCUGGGAAAGCCUUUAUUUCUCCUUCCUAUCUGAAGAAUAACUUUGCCGGAUAGAGUACUCCUGGCUGAUAGAUUUUUUUCUUUCAAUAUCUGGAAUAUAUCAUUCCACUCUCU